rnacentral:rRNA from 1 species
UACGUAGGGUGCGAGCGUUAAUCGGAAUUACUGGGCGUAAAGCGUGCGCAGGCGGUUCGUUGUGUCUGAUGUGAAAGCCCCGGGCUCAACCUGGGAAUGGCAUUGGAAACUGGCGAGCUAGAGUGUGGCAGAGGGGGGGUGGAAUUCCGCGUGUAGCAGUGAAAUGCGUAGAGAUGCGGAGGAACACCGAUGGCGAAGGCAGCCCCCUGGGCUGACACUGACGCCUCAGGCACGAAAGCGUGGGGAGCAAACAGG